rnacentral:rRNA from 1 species
UACGGAGGGUGCGAGCGUUGUCCGAAAUCAUUGGGCGUAAAGGGCGCGUAGGUGGCCCGGUCAGUCAGUGGUGAAAGCGCGGGGCUCAACUCCGCGUCGGCCAUUGAUACUGCUGGGCUUGAGCACUGUAGAGGCAGGCGGAAUUCCGGGUGUAGCGGUGGAAUGCGUAGAGAUCCGGAAGAACACCGGUGGCGAAGGCGGCCUGCUGGGCAGUGGCUGACACUGAGGCGCGACAGCGUGGGGAGCAAACAGG